AGAGCUGGAGAAGUGACCAAAGCCCUUAGAGAGGCCAGAAGAUUCUGUCUGUCCACUACCCUGAAGAAGACAUCGACUAGACCAUGCAGUGAAUACAAGUGACGGCUGUGCUCCUGAAAGCUGUAUUUACAGAAACAGGUGCUGGGCUGGAUUUGGCAGCUAAGUUGUUGUUUGGUGACCUAUGAUUUAGCCCUAAACUUCUUAAACUGUGGGUCAUGACUUUACUCUGAAAGUUAUGAAAACUUCGGCAGCUAUAUGCAAUCUCUGAGCCCUCAAUGACCAAAAUUAACCCAAAAUAAAAUAAAUAGUGAA